rnacentral:lncRNA from 1 species
GGACUAGGGCGGAGAAGCGUGUCCCCCCCCCCCGAGCCGUCCCCGAGGAGGGGGGAAGGGCAGGGAAUGGUCUCUCACCCAUGCUGGGGGCUCCGGCGCGGGGGAAGCCCGAUCGUAGCGGCUCCUCCUUCUCUUCUUCGGGUAGUGGCUUCGUGCGGCAAGAGCCGGGCUUCAGCCCCAGCGGGCGGUCGGAGUGCGGGGGCUCAGGCGGGGCGAGGCGGCAAGUCCAUCCGCCCGCGUCUCCCUCCAGCUGGUCCAGUCAGUUGAAGAAUCUGGGAAGGAAGAGGCGGCGUCAGCCAACCCCUCCCCUCUCCGACUGCGGUGGAGAGGAGCGCGCGCUCAAGCUCUGCUGACUUGAGAGCCGGGACGCGGCCGCCGGGAGAAGGGGGUCGAGAACUUGUGGAAGGUGGGGGAAGUCUCGCGAGAACUCUUUUUUUCCCUCCCCCCCUCUCCCCGAAACCCCAACCCCCACUCCACCUCUUCAGUUACUACUACCGCCCUCUCGGCAGUUGCCAGGUGAAGUGACGUCACGUCCCCGAGGUUCCGGAGCCGCGUCCGUGAGGUGGGGGGAGGGUCCGCGAGCGGCAUGCAGGGAGGUUGGCCAUUGGAGGGGCGGGGGCGACGUGACAAUCGAUGACGUCCGGGCUGAGAGCCCCCUGCCCAGCCGCGGCCGGGCUCUGAAAGUCUCAGGAUCUUUUGAGAGGAGAGGGGAGUGGGGAUGGUGAAGAUGGCCGGGAUUGUUUCUCCCACCACGCCCCAUGUAGUGUGAUCCGGCCCGGGGGAGUUGCUGCGGGCAGGAAAACUGACCCUUCCCUGCCCCAGUUUGGCGAUAUUGCCUUCCUAAGGGAGGACGGAAGGUGACCCACAAAGCAAGCAAGAGGAUAAGAUUGGGGUGCGAGGCAGGCCGGGCUGGCUCCCCUGAGAACUCUGGAGCCCCGGCUUCUGCCGGGGGGAGCCUUGUUAGACCCGGGGCCGCCUGAUAUUUUGUCCUAGGACACGCACUGUGGGCACCAGUCAGGCUUUCGUGGCAUUUAAAAUAAAUUACUGGAACCUCUUGUGCCA